rnacentral:rRNA from 1 species
GGGUUGUGAGGUUAAGCGACUAAGCGUACACGGUGGAUGCCCUGGCAGUCAGAGGCGAUGAAGGACGUGCUAAUCUGCGAUAAGCGUCGGUAAGGUGAUAUGAACCGUUAUAACCGGCGAUUUCCGAAUGGGGAAACCCAGUGUGUUUCGACACACUAUCAUUAACUGAAUCCAUAGGUUAAUGAGGCGAACCGGGGGAACUGAAACAUCUAAGUACCCCGAGGAAAAGAAAUCAACCGAGAUUCCCCCAGUAGCGGCGAGCGAACGGGGAGCAGCCCAGAGCCUGAAUCAGUGUGUGUGUUAGUGGAAGCGUCUGGAAAGGCGCGCGAUACAGGGUGACAGCCCCGUACACAAAAAUGCACAUGCUGUGAGCUCGAUGAGUAGGGCGGGACACGUGGUAUCCUGUCUGAAUAUGGGGGGACCAUCCUCCAAGGCUAAAUACUCCUGACUGACCGAUAGUGAACCAGUACCGUGAGGGAAAGGCGAAAAGAACCCCGGCGAGGGGAGUGAAAAAGAACCUGAAACCGUGUACGUACAAGCAGUGGGAGCCUCUUUUAUGGGGUGACUGCGUACCUUUUGUAUAAUGGGUCAGCGACUUAUAUUCUGUAGCAAGGUUAACCGAAUAGGGGAGCCGAAGGGAAACCGAGUCUUAACUGGGCGUUAAGUUGCAGGGUAUAGACCCGAAACCCGGUGAUCUAGCCAUGGGCAGGUUGAAGGUUGGGUAACACUAACUGGAGGACCGAACCGACUAAUGUUGAAAAAUUAGCGGAUGACUUGUGGCUGGGGGUGAAAGGCCAAUCAAACCGGGAGAUAGCUGGUUCUCCCCGAAAGCUAUUUAGGUAGCGCCUCGUGAAUUCAUCUCCGGGGGUAGAGCACUGUUUCGGCAAGGGGGUCAUCCCGACUUACCAACCCGAUGCAAACUGCGAAUACCGGAGAAUGUUAUCACGGGAGACACACGGCGGGUGCUAACGUCCGUCGUGAAGAGGGAAACAACCCAGACCGCCAGCUAAGGUCCCAAAGUCAUGGUUAAGUGGGAAACGAUGUGGGAAGGCCCAGACAGCCAGGAUGUUGGCUUAGAAGCAGCCAUCAUUUAAAGAAAGCGUAAUAGCUCACUGGUCGAGUCGGCCUGCGCGGAAGAUGUAACGGGGCUAAACCAUGCACCGAAGCUGCGGCAGCGACGCUUAUGCGUUGUUGGGUAGGGGAGCGUUCUGUAAGCCUGUGAAGGUGUGCUGUGAGGCAUGCUGGAGGUAUCAGAAGUGCGAAUGCUGACAUAAGUAACGAUAAAGCGGGUGAAAAGCCCGCUCGCCGGAAGACCAAGGGUUCCUGUCCAACGUUAAUCGGGGCAGGGUGAGUCGACCCCUAAGGCGAGGCCGAAAGGCGUAGUCGAUGGGAAACAGGUUAAUAUUCCUGUACUUGGUGUUACUGCGAAGGGGGGACGGAGAAGGCUAUGUUGGCCGGGCGACGGUUGUCCCGGUUUAAGCGUGUAGGCUGGUUUUCCAGGCAAAUCCGGAAAAUCAAGGCUGAGGCGUGAUGACGAGGCACUACGGUGCUGAAGCAACAAAUGCCCUGCUUCCAGGAAAAGCCUCUAAGCAUCAGGUAACAUCAAAUCGUACCCCAAACCGACACAGGUGGUCAGGUAGAGAAUACCAAGGCGCUUGAGAGAACUCGGGUGAAGGAACUAGGCAAAAUGGUGCCGUAACUUCGGGAGAAGGCACGCUGAUAUGUAGGUGAAGUCCCUUGCGGAUGGAGCUGAAAUCAGUCGAAGAUACCAGCUGGCUGCAACUGUUUAUUAAAAACACAGCACUGUGCAAACACGAAAGUGGACGUAUACGGUGUGACGCCUGCCCGGUGCCGGAAGGUUAAUUGAUGGGGUCAGCGCAAGCGAAGCUCUUGAUCGAAGCCCCGGUAAACGGCGGCCGUAACUAUAACGGUCCUAAGGUAGCGAAAUUCCUUGUCGGGUAAGUUCCGACCUGCACGAAUGGCGUAAUGAUGGCCAGGCUGUCUCCACCCGAGACUCAGUGAAAUUGAACUCGCUGUGAAGAUGCAGUGUACCCGCGGCAAGACGGAAAGACCCCGUGAACCUUUACUAUAGCUUGACACUGAACAUUGAGCCUUGAUGUGUAGGAUAGGUGGGAGGCUUUGAAGUGUGGACGCCAGUCUGCAUGGAGCCGACCUUGAAAUACCACCCUUUAAUGUUUGAUGUUCUAACGUUGACCCGUAAUCCGGGUUGCGGACAGUGUCUGGUGGGUAGUUUGACUGGGGCGGUCUCCUCCUAAAGAGUAACGGAGGAGCACGAAGGUUGGCUAAUCCUGGUCGGACAUCAGGAGGUUAGUGCAAUGGCAUAAGCCAGCUUGACUGCGAGCGUGACGGCGCGAGCAGGUGCGAAAGCAGGUCAUAGUGAUCCGGUGGUUCUGAAUGGAAGGGCCAUCGCUCAACGGAUAAAAGGUACUCCGGGGAUAACAGGCUGAUACCGCCCAAGAGUUCAUAUCGACGGCGGUGUUUGGCACCUCGAUGUCGGCUCAUCACAUCCUGGGGCUGAAGUAGGUCCCAAGGGUAUGGCUGUUCGCCAUUUAAAGUGGUACGCGAGCUGGGUUUAGAACGUCGUGAGACAGUUCGGUCCCUAUCUGCCGUGGGCGCUGGAGAACUGAGGGGGGCUGCUCCUAGUACGAGAGGACCGGAGUGGACGCAUCACUGGUGUUCGGGUUGUCAUGCCAAUGGCACUGCCCGGUAGCUAAAUGCGGAAGAGAUAAGUGCUGAAAGCAUCUAAGCACGAAACUUGCCCCGAGAUGAGUUCUCCCUGACCCUUUAAGGGUCCUGAAGGAACGUUGAAGACGACGACGUUGAUAGGCCGGGUGUGUAAGCGCAGCGAUGCGUUGAGCUAACCGGUACUAAUGAACCGUGAGGCUUAACCUUACAACGCCGAAG